rnacentral:rRNA from 1 species
ACAUGCAAGUUGAGCGGAGGUAGAUGGAGCUUGCUCUAUGUACCUUAGCAGCGAACGGGUGAGUAACACGUAGAUAAUCUGUCCUAUAUUGGGGGAUAGCCCGAUGAAAGUUGGAUUAAUACCGCAUACAGCUAUAUAGUUGCAUGAUUAUAUAGUGAAAGAUUUAUUGAUAUAGGAGGAGUCUGCGGCACAUUAGCUAGUAGGUGAGGUAAGAGCUUACCUAGGCGACGAUGUGUAGCCGGUCUGAGAGGAUGAACGGCCACAAUGGAACUGAGACACGGUCCAUACUCCUACGGGAGGCAGCAGUGGGGAAUAUUGCACAAUGGGGGAAACCCUGAUGCAGCAACGCCGCGUGAGUGAAGAAGGUUUUCGGAUUGUAAAGCUCUGUUAGCAGGGAAGAGGAAGGACGGUACCUGCAGAGGAAGCCACGGCUAACUACGUGCCAGCAGCCGCGGUAAUACGUAGGUGGCAAGCGUUGUUCGGAAUAACUGGGCGUAAAGGAUGCGUAGGCGGUUAAAUAAGUUAUAUGUUAAAUAUAUAGGCUUAACCUGUAGAAAGCAUAUAAAACUGUUUAACUAGAGUGCAGGAGAGGUAAGUGGAAUUCCUGGUGUAGCGGUGAAAUGCGUAGAGAUUAGGAAGAACACCAGUGGCGAAGGCGACUUACUGGACUGUAACUGACGCUGAGGCA